GAUGAAGAACGCAGCGAAAUGCGAUACGUAGUGUGAAUUGCAGAAUUCAGUGAAUCAUCGAAUCUUUGAACGCACAUUGCACCUCUCGGUAUUCCGGGAGGUAUGCCUGUUCGAGCGUCAUUUGUACCCUCAAGCUCUGCUUGGUGUUGGGUGUUUGUUCCGCCUCUGUGUGUGAACUCGCCUCAAACCAAUUGGCAGCCGGCGUACUUGUUUCGGAGCGCAGCACAUUUUGCGAUCCAGAUCAACGUACAGCGGCAUCCAAGAAGCCUUAUUUAACGCUCUUGACCUCGGAUCAGGUAGGGAUACCCGCUGAACUUAAGCAUAUCAAUAAGCGGAGGA
rnacentral:misc_RNA from 1 species